rnacentral:lncRNA from 1 species
GAAGUCAGAUUUUUCUUUUGACUUUUGGAAAACCUUCAUAUUAUUGAGAAAAAACAAAUAAAUUAUAGAGAAAAAGAGAAUACAGUAACAACACAACACAAGAGGUUAACAUAAAAAUUCUAAAAUUAGAGAAAAAUCACGACCGUUGUCAAAUGACAACUAGAGAAUAACACUAUGUGAACAUUAUUAUAACAUAUAGACUAUCCCCAACCACCCAAAAUC